ACUAAUGUUAUGCCUGUUGAGGUAAAACAACAUAAAAAACGUAAAAACAAGAGAAGCAAAAAGGUUUCUCAAGGAUCAGUGUUGGAUGAAGACCAACUGGCUGAGAAGGCCUUGGAAGAGGUCAUGACGAUCAUGGACUCCCUCUGUCCUGAGAUCCAAGAAAAUGUGGAAGCAAAAGAAACCGAGGAGUGUGGAGAGCCAGAGAUAACAAACAAGUCGUUUCUGGAGUAUAUGGACGAGUUGUGCAGCGACGAAGACUUUGUCGAAAACGUGGACUCAUUCCUGAACAUCGACUUCCUGGACUCCUUCGAACACGAGGGGAGGCAAACACUGAAUACAGAGAACCUGGAAGUUCUGAACCUGGAAACUAAAGCAUCAGAUUUAAGGUCAGAAAGUGGAAGCUUGAGUCCAAUGAAGAGAAAGCGGCAGCAAUGUGUGGCUUCAGAAGAGAGGCUAAAUGAGCCAUCGAUGGACGAGGUGGGGACGGAAGAUGAUGCUUUCAGGUCAAGUCCGAUGAAAAGGCACAAGGUGGAGAAGAAAAGAGAAGCUAAAGUUACCAAGAAACGAGACAAGGUGGAGAGAUGUGGCUGUACUGGACGAUAGUCCUCAAGGAGAAGUGAAACAGCGUAAAGAAUUCAUCGAUUUUAGAUCAUCGGUGGACAAAUGAGAGAAACAGCUGGUUGAAAAGUCGUAAUCAAAAAAAGACCCAGCAAAACCCGCUUAAAAUAAUUCACAGUUUAAUUAUUAAACAAUACUCACACAGUAAUGUAAGAAUUCACUUCCAUACAAUAAACGUCUACAUUUACAGAGUGUUUGGUUUCUUUUUGCACUUAUAAAAAACAGAACAUGCUCAAACAAAAGGAGGUUUUAUAAAUAAGACACUUCAUGGCUUCGAGUCCUUUGACAGCAUCUGGAUCAACAUUUAUUACGAGGAAUUAAAAAAAGGCACAAAAGGUCCUCACACACACACAAACAGCCACAGCAGCCUCACAGGGUUUUAGAUAAAAGCAAACAUCCUACCCAACACACUCUCAGACAUGAUAAAUUAUUUUUGUUUUCUGCUUCGAGGAAGUGAAGCAGAACCGACGGGAAAAAC